AUAUUUUGAAGAUUAAAUUAUGAAAGGUAAUGCAUGUACACAGUAGAGUCACACAUCAUUUCAACUCGUCAAUUUAUCUGCAGGAUCAUUGCUGAGACAUGGAGUGAGGGAGAGAUUUAUGUGAGGAUCUACACAGCAAGGAAGAGCAUAAGAAACAUAAGUGAGAAAUCUGCCUCUCAGAACUGAAAAUGUGACCUGAAAUACAUUCGCAUCAGCAUUGAAGCAUCUUCAAGUAAGAAACUGUGACUUUAAGAGAACUUUUUUAUUAAUCUGCUAUUCCUGCGUGCUGGUCCUCAGUGGAGAAUGUCGCUGUGCUGAGCCAGGGAGAAAGAGCAAAGAAAGUGGGAUUAGAGACGGAUCAGCAUCCUUGAGUCACAGCACUUUGUGAGAUGUAGACUGCAUAGCCUGCAGAGUCAGUAAAAUCCCAGGAAAUUACUGAGAAAGCUGACUGCUAGAAUUGUGUUUCAUAAUAAAAUAAUCUUACUGAAAUUAAUCA
rnacentral:lncRNA from 1 species